rnacentral:rRNA from 1 species
AAGCGCUUGCCAUCAGACUCGUCCGCGGUCGAUCAGCCUCCGUUCUCGGGGGCGCACUCUUCCGCGGUCGGGCCAGCAUCGGUUCAGGUGGUCGGAGAAAGGCGGGGGGAAUGUGGCUUCCCUCGGGAAGUGUUAUAGCCCCCCGUGGAAUGCGACCUACCCGGACCGAGGACCGCGCCUCGGCGAGGAUGCUGGCGUAAUGGUGGUCAGCGGCCCG